rnacentral:rRNA from 1 species
GGGUUGUGAGGUUAAGCGACUAAGCGUACACGGUGGAUGCCCUGGCAGUCAGAGGCGAUGAAGGACGUGCUAAUCUGCGAUAAGCGUCGGUAAGGUGAUAUGAACCGUUAUAACCGGCGAUUUCCGAAUGGGGAAACCCAGUGUGAUUCGUCACACUAUCAUUAACUGAAUCCAUAGGUUAAUGAGGCGAACCGGGGGAACUGAAACAUCUAAGUACCCCGAGGAAAAGAAAUCAACCGAGAUUCCCCCAGUAGCGGCGAGCGAACGGGGAGCAGCCCAGAGCCUGAAUCAGUGUGUGUGUUAGUGGAAGCGUCUGGAAAGGCGCGCGAUACAGGGUGACAGCCCCGUACACAAAAAUGCACAUGCUGUGAGCUCGAUGAGUAGGGCGGGACACGUGGUAUCCUGUCUGAAUAUGGGGGGACCAUCCUCCAAGGCUAAAUACUCCUGACUGACCGAUAGUGAACCAGUACCGUGAGGGAAAGGCGAAAAGAACCCCGGCGAGGGGAGUGAAAAAGAACCUGAAACCGUGUACGUACAAGCAGUGGGAGCACGCUUAGGCGUGUGACUGCGUACCUUUUGUAUAAUGGGUCAGCGACUUAUAUUCUGUAGCAAGGUUAACCGAAUAGGGGAGCCGAAGGGAAACCGAGUCUUAACUGGGCGUUAAGUUGCAGGGUAUAGACCCGAAACCCGGUGAUCUAGCCAUGGGCAGGUUGAAGGUUGGGUAACACUAACUGGAGGACCGAACCGACUAAUGUUGAAAAAUUAGCGGAUGACUUGUGGCUGGGGGUGAAAGGCCAAUCAAACCGGGAGAUAGCUGGUUCUCCCCGAAAGCUAUUUAGGUAGCGCCUCGUGAAUUCAUCUCCGGGGGUAGAGCACUGUUUCGGCAAGGGGGUCAUCCCGACUUACCAACCCGAUGCAAACUGCGAAUACCGGAGAAUGUUAUCACGGGAGACACACGGCGGGUGCUAACGUCCGUCGUGAAGAGGGAAACAACCCAGACCGCCAGCUAAGGUCCCAAAGUCAUGGUUAAGUGGGAAACGAUGUGGGAAGGCCCAGACAGCCAGGAUGUUGGCUUAGAAGCAGCCAUCAUUUAAAGAAAGCGUAAUAGCUCACUGGUCGAGUCGGCCUGCGCGGAAGAUGUAACGGGGCUAAACCAUGCACCGAAGCUGCGGCAGCGACGCUUAUGCGUUGUUGGGUAGGGGAGCGUUCUGUAAGCCUGUGAAGGUGUACUGUGAGGUAUGCUGGAGGUAUCAGAAGUGCGAAUGCUGACAUAAGUAACGAUAAAGCGGGUGAAAAGCCCGCUCGCCGGAAGACCAAGGGUUCCUGUCCAACGUUAAUCGGGGCAGGGUGAGUCGACCCCUAAGGCGAGGCCGAAAGGCGUAGUCGAUGGGAAACAGGUUAAUAUUCCUGUACUUGGUGUUACUGCGAAGGGGGGACGGAGAAGGCUAUGUUGGCCGGGCGACGGUUGUCCCGGUUUAAGCGUGUAGGCUGGUUUUCCAGGCAAAUCCGGAAAAUCAAGGCUGAGGCGUGAUGACGAGGCACUACGGUGCUGAAGCAACAAAUGCCCUGCUUCCAGGAAAAGCCUCUAAGCAUCAGGUAACAUCAAAUCGUACCCCAAACCGACACAGGUGGUCAGGUAGAGAAUACCAAGGCGCUUGAGAGAACUCGGGUGAAGGAACUAGGCAAAAUGGUGCCGUAACUUCGGGAGAAGGCACGCUGAUAUGUAGGUGAAGUCCCUCGCGGAUGGAGCUGAAAUCAGUCGAAGAUACCAGCUGGCUGCAACUGUUUAUUAAAAACACAGCACUGUGCAAACACGAAAGUGGACGUAUACGGUGUGACGCCUGCCCGGUGCCGGAAGGUUAAUUGAUGGGGUUAGCGCAAGCGAAGCUCUUGAUCGAAGCCCCGGUAAACGGCGGCCGUAACUAUAACGGUCCUAAGGUAGCGAAAUUCCUUGUCGGGUAAGUUCCGACCUGCACGAAUGGCGUAAUGAUGGCCAGGCUGUCUCCACCCGAGACUCAGUGAAAUUGAACUCGCUGUGAAGAUGCAGUGUACCCGCGGCAAGACGGAAAGACCCCGUGAACCUUUACUAUAGCUUGACACUGAACAUUGAGCCUUGAUGUGUAGGAUAGGUGGGAGGCUUUGAAGUGUGGACGCCAGUCUGCAUGGAGCCGACCUUGAAAUACCACCCUUUAAUGUUUGAUGUUCUAACGUUGACCCGUAAUCCGGGUUGCGGACAGUGUCUGGUGGGUAGUUUGACUGGGGCGGUCUCCUCCUAAAGAGUAACGGAGGAGCACGAAGGUUGGCUAAUCCUGGUCGGACAUCAGGAGGUUAGUGCAAUGGCAUAAGCCAGCUUGACUGCGAGCGUGACGGCGCGAGCAGGUGCGAAAGCAGGUCAUAGUGAUCCGGUGGUUCUGAAUGGAAGGGCCAUCGCUCAACGGAUAAAAGGUACUCCGGGGAUAACAGGCUGAUACCGCCCAAGAGUUCAUAUCGACGGCGGUGUUUGGCACCUCGAUGUCGGCUCAUCACAUCCUGGGGCUGAAGUAGGUCCCAAGGGUAUGGCUGUUCGCCAUUUAAAGUGGUACGCGAGCUGGGUUUAGAACGUCGUGAGACAGUUCGGUCCCUAUCUGCCGUGGGCGCUGGAGAACUGAGGGGGGCUGCUCCUAGUACGAGAGGACCGGAGUGGACGCAUCACUGGUGUUCGGGUUGUCAUGCCAAUGGCACUGCCCGGUAGCUAAAUGCGGAAGAGAUAAGUGCUGAAAGCAUCUAAGCACGAAACUUGCCCCGAGAUGAGUUCUCCCUGACUCCUUGAGAGUCCUGAAGGAACGUUGAAGACGACGACGUUGAUAGGCCGGGUGUGUAAGCGCAGCGAUGCGUUGAGCUAACCGGUACUAAUGAACCGUGAGGCUUAACCUUACAACGCCGAAGGUGUUU